rnacentral:rRNA from 1 species
UACGGAGGGUGCAAGCGUUAUCCGGAUUUACUGGGUUUAAAGGGUGCGUAGGUGGGUAGGAAAGCUCAGUGGAUGAAUUCGUCGGCUUAACCCGGAAACUGCCAUUGAUACUAUUUAUCUUGAAUACUUUGGAGGUAAGCGGAAUAUGUCAUGUAGCGGUGAAAUGCUUAGAUAUGACAUAGAACACCAAUUGCGAAGGCAGCUUACUACACAGUUAUUGACACUGAGGCACGAAAGCGUGGGGAUCAAACAGG